GAUGAACGCUGGCGGCGUGCUUAACACAUGCAAGUCGAACGAUGAAGCCCAGCUUGCUGGGUGGAUUAGUGGCGAACGGGUGAGUAACACGUGAGUAACCUGCCCUUAACUCUGGGAUAAGCCUGGGAAACUGGGUCUAAUACCGGAUAGGAGCACCUACCGCAUGGUGGGUGUUGGAAAGAUUUAUCGGUUUUGGAUGGACUCGCGGCCUAUCAGCUUGUUGGUGAGGUAAUGGCUCACCAAGGCGACGACGGGUAGCCGGCCUGAGAGGGUGACCGGCCACACUGGGACUGAGACACGGCCCAGACUCCUACGGGAGGCAGCAGUGGGGAAUAUUGCACAAUGGGCGAAAGCCUGAUGCAGCGACGCCGCGUGAGGGAUGACGGCCUUCGGGUUGUAAACCUCUUUCAGUAGGGAAGAAGCGAAAGUGACGGUACCUGCAGAAGAAGCACCGGCUAACUACGUG
rnacentral:rRNA from 1 species